ensembl:lncRNA
UUUUUGGUGGAAAUAAAUACAUUACCUGCACAUUUUCAAAUGAAAUAUACAGUUGCAAUCAGAUAUUCAACUCAAAAGUUUGGUCAAGUCUUUCGACUAGACAUUUAUAAGUCCUAUCUUACAAGAGAAUAAGACCUAUGUUAUCAUAGAAUCAUAGAAUUACUCAGGUUGGAAAGGACCUCAAAGAUCAUCAAGUCCAUCCGCAGCCUAACCAUAGUACUCUAACAACCCCCUUCUAAAUCAUAUCUCUGAGCACCACAAGCACCACAUCCAAACGGCUCUUAAACACAUCCAGGGACAGUGACUCAACCAUCUCAUCACAAAGAAUUAUUCUUCACUUCACCAUCACACAUUUUUUAUGUCACAACUUCUUGGUAAUACAUGCAUUUGUGAACAAUUGUCAAGAGUGAAAUACAGGAAGAGUAAAAUUUCAUCAAAAAUCUCUGAUGAACAUAUUGAGAUCUCAGUAAGAAUUGUGACCACUUGCACUGAACCAGACCAAUGCAUUAGUUUCAUUAAAGCGAAGUCAAAUAGGCCACUAGUUUUAAUUUUUUGUUGCUCAGUUUCAUAAUGUGUUAAUAAAAAUAUUAAGAAUUAAACUGCUUUGUUUUUUUAUAUAUUUUUCAAGGGCUGCUCUAAAAAUAAUGUAACUUUAUUUUAAUAUGUUGGUCUAUGAUGUCAGAGGCAGAUGUCGGUAAAAUGGCAAUAGAUGUUGAACCUUCCUACUAAUAUUCUUUUGCAUUUUCUUGCUAUGCUACUGAUGGCAGCAGACAGGCAGUCUGUCAAAAUGGUGUCUGACAUUAAAGAGAGAAUAAAGAGAAGAUGUGUCAUUGAAUUCCUUCACACACACACACACACAAAAUGGAACUAUUUGACAUUGACUCUGAAUGUUUUGGAGAUCAAGAUUUGGACAGGAGCAUCCUGAAGCAGUAGGAGCUAUGUUUCAGCAGUGGCAACAGUGGGUCACCUCCAGUGUUUCCAAGAAAAUACAUAGGAGGAAUUACUUUCAAGGUGACAUAUGCAGUUCAAGACAAUUCCUCUUCUCUCAGUGCAGUCCUGACAAGCCAAAAGGUUGGACGCCCAUGGACUACUGCCUCUCUUUUGUUAUGAAUGACACUGGAAAAGAAGGCUGUCAAGCAAGUACUGUCACAUGUGGAUUAUCAGUUUGAGAGGAAGACACUGAAAGGCAUAAGAUUUCAGAAUAAUCAUACAAUCAAAGAAUCAUUAAGACCACUGAAAAUGUCACUAAGAUCAUCUAGUCCGACCAUCAACCCAUGAUCACCAUGUUCCCUAAGCCGUGUCUCUAAGUGCCAUGUCUACAUGUUUCUUGAAAACCUCCAGGGAUGGUGACUCCAUUUCUUCCCUGGUCAGUUUGUUCCAAUACAUUAACACUCCAAGAAGAAAUUUUCCUAAUGUCCAACCUGAACCUCCCCUCGUGCAACUUAAAGCCGUUCUCUCUCAUCCUAUUGCUGUUACCUGGGAGAAGAAUCCAAUCUCCACCUUGCCACAAUUUCCUUUCAGGCUGCUGUAGUGAGCUACAAAGUCUCUCCUGAGCCUCCUCUACUCAAGACUUCACAAUCCCAGUUCCCUUAGCCACUCCUCAUAAGUCUUGUGCUCCAGAUCUAAUUAAAGGGAAUAUUCUCAUUAGACAGUACCUUAUUUAUAGAUAAUUAAUUGUAUAGGAAUAUAAAAUCAGAUAAUCUAUUUUCUUCCUUCAGAGAAAUUAUUUUUCUGGUUUAUUUUUAGAUAUUUUGACUGUCUAUAUUGUUGGGCUGAACUUGCCAAACUUCAUAGUAUCCAUAUACAUCCUAAGCCCACAGGUCUAGCCCAUCAGACCAAUUUAAAGGGGAUCAAAAAGUUGUCUACAUGCUCAGCACCAGAAUCCUGAGUGAAAUAUAUGUGCCAGGACUUUUUUGUUAAGAGGCUAUAAUGAUUUAUUUAUACAGUUUGCUACUUUUGGAGAAAUUCUACAUGUUGUUAAUAUGUAUAAAUUUACAUUUUUCAGUACUUAAGAGAUUUUAAUUUUUAUUAAAGCAUAUAAAAAUUGCAGAUGUAGCAGAUUUUCUAAGAUACAGCAAGUUAGCAACUUUUUCCUGGAUUCUUUUUGUACCAUACUUUCUUAUAUUAUUGUAGAUUAUAUGGCACAAAGCACUCAUCUGAGAAGCUUGAAAAAUAUUAAAGAUAUUACUUGAAGUUAGAGAAUUACCCCCCAAAUAUAUUAUUUUAUAGAAGUGAUAGAAUUCUGUACAUAUAUGUAUAAACAAAUAUAAAACUUACAUAAAUUUAAAAUAUAUUCCAUGUGUUUGUAUGCAUGUACAUAUAUAUAUGCAUAUAUAUAUAUAUGGGGUACACAUAUACUCCAUGGAAAAUUCAUAAAUACUUCCUCAUAUUCAUACAAAAAUGUAUGUAUCAUAUUUGAAUUAUUAGAGUGCAAGAUGCUGAAUAUUUUUUAGAGAGCAUAAAAUGUAUUUCUUGUGACUGAAAAAAUGUGACUGGAAAAAUGUGAUCUAAAAUGAGGAAUUAGCCAAAUAUUUCAGAUUCAGAAAGAGCAUAGCAACCUGUUGCUGCUAUCAGUAAAGCUGGAUAGCAUGGUCUUCCUGGAAUGGAUUCUGUACAUGGUUAAUCAAAUAGUCAUUAAUUCAAAUCCUCUGAAUUACUGUGAAAAGUGAAUUCAUGUACAUAUCUUUUCUCUCAAAAGGAAGUUGCCUACCUUGUAUCCUGUGAUAAAGAUUUAUUCUAUUAAAACCAUAAAAGGCUCACUGAGCAAAAUGGGAGAUUUGUGAUCCAUCUUAGAGUAAUUUUUUUUCUACCUUUUUAGUGAAAAUACUAUCAUGCUUUCUAUAGACAUACAGAAUAUACUGUCAGUGAAUUCACUGUCACAGUGAAUUAACCCCCUUCUCAGAAGCUCGGUGUACCCUUUUUGAUAAUUUGAUAAUUUGUGUUUCAGUAAUUGCUGCUGGGGCACUUUUGUAGGCCAUUUAUAGUUUGCUGUACUUGUGUUAUUCAAUAUUCACAUAAUCAAUAAGAAACAUUAGCACAUACAUACAGGACACAUCUAAGGCAUGAUCCUAUUGAAGAUUUUUAAUUAUGGAGAUUUCUAAAACUGCCUUUAAAUCCUCUCCAGAUUUUCAGAUAAAUAAACUUGCACAAGAUACAGCAACAAUGACAUACCAAAAAAAAAAAAAAAAAAGGUCUUUUAAUCAAAUCACAGUGUAAUUACUCUCUAACACUCAAAUCACCUCCAUUAUUUAAAUAAACUUUUAAGAAACUGCUGGUAUAGUCUAGGACUGCAAAGAGUCAUUUAAACAGAAAGGUUUUAUGAGUUCUUGCCUGUCUUGGCAAGAAGGCAGUGUGCUCACAUUUUACAAGAGUUAUAGGAGAUAUUUUGAAAAAAAAAAAAAAAUGGAAAUCUUUGAAGAAUGCAUAUACUGUGAAAGCUCUCCAUAUCAGAAGUAUUGCUGCCUUGCAAUAUUUACAGUAAUACUUCUGGUCUGCUGUGCACCUUUUCUGCUUAGCAAUUAGACAUGGUAUUUAUCAUGAAAACGCACACAUUUUUAAUGUUUGAUAUACAAUUGCACUAAAAAACGAGCCAAAUUGAGCCAUUAAAACAAUCUAUCUAUUCAUCAUAACUUCUGUAUUUCCAUUUGCUUCUGUCUUGAAUGUUUGCUAUUUAAACAGCAUUAUCAUAAAGAUUCUAUAGAAAUUAUUGUUGAAUUUAGGAAUUCAUAAAACAGUAUUACAGUUUGUUGAGAUUUAUUUAGUAGUCUUCAUGAAUGAAUGUAUUUUUUCUGUUGACAAAUAAGGCACUUUUUUUUAAAGUAAACUGUAAUAAAUGCCCUUUUAUUAUAUAUAUAUAUAUAUUUUGCUAAUACACGAAGUUAGUAUUCUUUCUCUGUUUGAAUUGGUUUGCACUGCUUGAAUGAAUUGUACAUGCAAGAAGAGAAAAAAAAUAUAUUUAUUAAACAUAGUUUAAGCCACAACAUCUAUUUCUAAUUAUGAAAAAAAAAAAUCAGGACAUAUACGAGUGUAAAAUUUUUUGAACAAUGUAGGGUUUCCAUUAUCUCGCUCCAAUUUAUAGGAGGGAGAGGAGGUUCUUUGUAUAUGGUAAUUGCCAGGGAGAAGCAAGGACAGACAAUCAGCAGGGAAUUAUAUCUGCGAGAUAGCUGGUUUCAUCAGCUUUGACAACAUCAACUUGAUGAAGACAGAGACACAGCUUUGAAGGAGAGCAUCUCCUCCUUUCUCUACCUAGUGGCUACUCUUUGUUCAAGAGACCUCACGACAAAACAAAGUGCCAGUGCACAGAUGGUAUCCAGAUAACCAUAGUGGAGGCAUGACUAGAGAAGAACAGCCAUCCGGCUGAGGAUGACAGACAACAUCAGAGGAUGGCUAUACAUACCGGACAUGAUCCAUCCUAGGGUUCAUUGGAAUAGACAUCACUACAAUUAAAUUUGACAGAGAAGUG